GCCUUCGUGGUGUAGUGGUCAGCACGCUCGACGCGCAACCGAGAGGUCCGUGGUUCGAUUCCCGGAGAAGGCG
rnacentral:tRNA from 1 species